rnacentral:rRNA from 1 species
AACGAACGCUGGCGGCAUGCCUAAUACAUGCAGGUCGAACGAUCCCUUCGGAGAUAGUGGCGCACGGGUGCGUAACGCGUGGGAAUCUGCCCUUGGGUUCGGAAUAACGUCGGGAAACUGACGCUAAUACCGGAUGAUGACGUAAGUCCAAAGAUUUAUCGCCCAGGGAUGAGCCCGCGUAGGAUUAGCUAGUUGGUGGGGUAAAGGCCUACCAAGGCGACGAUCCUUAGCUGGUCUGAGAGGAUGAUCAGCCACACUGGGACUGAGACACGGCCCAGACUCCUACGGGAGGCAGCAGUAGGGAAUAUUGGACAAUGGGGGCAACCCUGAUCCAGCAAUGCCGCGUGAGUGAUGAAGGCCUUAGGGUUGUAAAGCUCUUUUACCCGAGGUGAUAAUGACAGUAUCGGGAGAAUAAGCUCCGGCUAACUCCGUGCCAGCCGCCGCGGUAA